GACGAACGCUGGCGGCGUGCUUAACACAUGCAAGUCGAGCGGAGCGGCGAAGGGGUGAGUAAGGCGUGAAUAACUGCCCCCCUCCCUGGGAUAACAGUUGGAAACGGCUGCUAAUACCGGAUAGUGGGGGAUGAGUCGGGUCCUAUCAGCUUGUUGGGGGGGUAGUGGCCUACCAAGGCGACGAGGGGUAGCCCGACUGAGAGGGCGACCGGCCACAUUGUGCUGGGAGACCGCCAAUGCUCCAUCUGGAGGCAGCAGUGGGGAUUUGUCCACACUAGGGGAAAUGCGGGUGCACCACCGUCGGGUGCGGGAUGACGGCUUUCCGGGAGUAAAGCGCUUUCAGCGAUGAGUCGGUAGCGGCAGAGGAAGCACCGGCUAACUACGUGCCAGCAGCCGCGGUAAUUC
rnacentral:rRNA from 1 species